GAUCAAGGAAAUUAGAGAGAGGAGCUUCAUGCUUCGGGUCGGGGAAAGAAAGACAUAGAAUUUGGAUUUUUCUUCUUCGUAGAGUUUUGGGAAGACUGAGGCAAUCGCUGCUGAAGUCAGUGUUGUAAUGGUGAAUUGGGAUUUUUAAAUGAAGUGGGUUUGAAUACUCUUGACUGUUUUGUAAAAUCGAGUUACGUCUGUGAUUGAAGGAUUAAAAGGGUAUUUAUAGGAUUGAGUAUG
rnacentral:lncRNA from 1 species